UACGGAGGGUCCAAGCGUUAUCCGGAAUCAUUGGGUUUAAAGGGUUCGCAGGCGGUUUAAUAAGUCAGUGGUGAAAUCCCGUAGCUCAACUACGGAACUGCCAUUGAUACUGUUGAACUUGAAUAUAGUUGGAGUAGGCGGAAUGUGUAGUGUAGCGGUGAAAUGCUUAGAUAUUACACAGAACACCGAUAGCGAAGGCAGCUUACUAAACUAAGAUUGACGCUCAUGAACGAAAGCGUGGGGAGCGAACAGG
rnacentral:misc_RNA from 1 species